CACUCCCCAUCUCAGCCAUGCUCAAACACUCUUCAAAUCCACUCACUCCCAUUCCUGAGUCCCAACCAGCUGCACAAACCACCUCUCCACCACAUUCCCCAAGGUCUUCAUUUUUUCAACCUUCUCCAACUGAAGCACCUCUCUGGAAUUUGCUCCAGAACCAACCAUCUAGGCCUGAUAAACCAACCUCACCCAUCACCAUCCAGUAUAACCCAUUAAAUCCUGAACCCAUCAUCCCUGAACAACCAGAGCCCAACCAAACAGAACCUGGACCCAGAACCUCUGAUCACUC
rnacentral:lncRNA from 1 species